rnacentral:rRNA from 1 species
GUGGGGAAUCUUCCGCAAUGGACGAAAGUCUGACGGAGCAACGCCGCGUGAGUGAAGAAGGUUUUCGGAUCGUAAAGCUCUUUCGUCAGGGACGAACGUAUUUCUUGUAAAUAAUGAGAGAUAGUGACGGUACUUGAAUAAGAAGCCACGGCUAACUACGUGCCAGCAGCCGCGGUAAUACGUAGGUGGCAAGCGUUGUCCGGAAUUAUUGGGCGUAAAGCGCGCGCAGGCGGGAUAUCAAGUCUGUCUUAAAAGUGCGAGGCUCAACCUCGUGAGGGGACAGAAACUGGUAUUCUUGAGUGUCGGAGAGGAAAGUGGAAUUCCAAGUGUAGCGGUGAAAUGCGUAGAGAUUUGGAAGAACACCAGUGGCGAAGGCGACUUUCUGGACGAUGUCUGACGCUGAGGCGCGAAAGCUAGGGGAGCGAACGGGAUUAGAUACCCCUGUAGUCC